rnacentral:tRNA from 3 species
CGCGGGGUGGAGCAGUUUGGUAGCUCGUCGGGCUCAUAACCCGAAGGUCGAGGGUUCAAAUCCCUCCCCCGCUACCA